CCUACGGGAGGCAGCAGUGGGGGAUAUUGCGCAAUGGGCGAAAGCCUGACGCAGCGACGCCGCGUGAGGGAUGAAGGUCUUCGGAUCGUAAACCUCUGUCAGCAGGGAAGAACGGUCACUGUGCUAAUCAGCAGUCAAUUGACGGUACCUGCAAAGGAAGCACCGGCUAACUCCGUGCCAGCAGCCGCGGUAAUACGGAGGGUGCGAGCGUUAAUCGGAAUUACUAGGCGUAAAACGCGCGUAGGCGGUAUGUCAAGUCAAGGGUGAAAUCCCCGCGCUCAACGUGGUAACUGCCUUUGAAACUGGCAAACUGGAGUGAGUGAGAGGAUAGUGGAAUUCCAGGUGUAGGAGUGAAAUCCGUAGAUAUCUGGAGGAACACCAGUGGCGAAGGCGACUAUCUGGCACAUAACUGACGCUGAGGAGCGAAAGCGUGGGUAGCAAACAGGAUUAGAUACCCGGGUAGUC
rnacentral:rRNA from 1 species